GUGCCAGCCGCCGCGGUAAUACGUAGGGGACAAGCGUUGUCCGGAUUUACUGGGCGUAAAGGGCACGCAGGCGGUUUUUUAAGUCAGAUGUGAAAGGUACCGGCUCAACCGGUGACAUGCAUUUGAAACUGAAAGACUUGAGUAUUGGAGAGGCAAGUGGAAUUCCUAGUGUAGCGGUGAAAUGCGUAGAUAUUAGGAGGAACACCGGUGGCGAAGGCGGCUUGCUGGACAAAUACUGACGCUGAGGUGCGAAAGCGUGGGGAGCAAACAGGAUUAGAAACCCCAGUAGUCCCGAAA
rnacentral:rRNA from 1 species